GUAAAACUUAAAAUUAUUGAUUUAGAUAUUUUCAAAAUUUAAUUUUAAUUAAGAUUAUGUAUAGGAUUUAUUAUUUAUAAUUAUUGUGAUUAUGGUACUGCUACGUUUGAUAGAAAUGGAAUAAUGGGGUGUGCUACUCAGAAAUAGGCUAUCAUUACACAUACAGCCUAUAAUAUAGGUAUUUAAAAAAAAUGUUUAGACACAGGUAAUAAAAUUAGAUAGAUACUGAAUAAGAUCCACUUUAAAUGAAGUUAGAUUAGUAACUUAAUUAUUAUAAUAAGUAACAUUUUUCUUUCUGCAUAAGAAAACUAUAGGGAAAAUCAAAAUAUGAUCAAUUCAAAAUUCCAAUA